AACGGGUCCGUUUGUGUAUGGGGGUAUGUAUGUUGCUUGUUGCUCCUGUUGGAUUGUGAGAAGAGAACAACGAAAAUGAUAUCUUGGAGAGAGAGAUCCGCGCGCCCGCGCGGCACAACUCGGUCAUCCAUGUGCUCGCGGCGGCGGCUCCGUCAAGUGCCAUCUCUUUUUCUUUAUCUCUCGAUG
ensembl:ncRNA W02A2.11 ncRNA